AGUACCUUCAAUUUGUUACCGGCUGGGCAAUAUUUUCAAUUCUUUUUAAACGUUUAUUCAUUUCUGAGAGACAGAGAAAGAGAGCAAGCAGGGGUGGGGCAGAGAGAGAGGGAGACACAGAACCUGAAACAGGCUCUAGGCUCCGGAGCUGUCAGCACAGAGAUGAUGACCUGAGCCCAAGUCGGAUGCUUAACCCACUGAGCCACCCAGGCACCGGUGGGCAAUUUCUGAAUUCCGCUCUUUGUCCUUCCACCUGGCUGAGUUUCUUCCUCCGCAGAUCAAAAAACGCCCCUCCGAGCUUAUUCGUUUGUUCAGCAAAUACUAUCAUGUAUCUGGAACUCUAUUGUGGGCUGGAUUUACGAAGAUGAACAUUGCAGGUAUCUAUGAAAGUCUGGCCCCUGCUUGCUUAAUUCUUCCAGAAACACUGGAUUUUUUGUCAAUAGGAUUCGAUGUUGGUGGAGUUGUGAGAUGUCUCAGCUCUGGAGAUUAUGUUAUUACUGUCAUUCUUCCUCCCAGGUACCAUAUUUAGGAUUUUUAGACCUAUUUAUAAACCACUGACUCCUUGUUUACACUGGCUGGUGCCUGCCGCAGAAGAAAUACUUGUUGACUGACUUUCUUAGUCCAUUCAUUAAAAUUGGCUUAUUAACCUUC